rnacentral:rRNA from 1 species
UACAGAGGUCCCAAGCGUUGUUCGGAUUCACUGGGCGUAAAGGGUGCGCAGGUGGGUUUGCAAGUUCGAUGUGAAAGCCCCGGGCUUAACCCGGGAAUGGCAUUGGAUACUGCAGAUCUGGAGGAUCGGAGGGGGACUGGAAUUCUUGGUGUAGCAGUGAAAUGCGUAGAUAUCAAGAGGAACACCAGUGGCGAAGGCGAGUCCCUGGACGAUACCUGACACUGAGGCACGAAAGCUAGGGGAGCAAACAGG